AAAACAUGGCUUUAAGAUUAUAAUUUUAAGUUUAAUCUGCUCAAUGAUGAAUUUAAAUAGCUGCAGUAUAUUAACUGUACAAAGGUAGCAUAAUCAAUAGUUUUUUAAUUAAAAGCUGGAAUGAAUGAUUGAAUGAAAUAAUAUCUGUCUCAAAUUAAUUAAUGUUAUAAUUUUUUUUUUAGUAAAAAUACUAAAUUAUUUAUAAAAGACGAGAAGACCCUAUAGAAUUUUAUAUUUUUUUUUUAAAUUAAUUUUUAUGAAUUUAAUUAAAAAUUAUUAGAUUGGGGAAAUUAUUAAAUUUAAUAAAUUUUAAUUAAUUAAAAACAAUAAUUAUUGAUUUUUAUUGAUCUUGAUAUUUUAAAAUAUAAGAAUAAAUUACCUUAGGGAUAACAGCGUAAUUUUUUUAGGGAGAUCUUAUUUAUAAAAAAGUUUGCGACCUCGAUGUUGAAUUAAAAUAAAAUUUUAAUGAAGGAGUUAAAAAUUUU
rnacentral:rRNA from 1 species